GACAGAGGGUGCAAACGUUGCUCGGAAUCACUGGGCGUAAAGCGCACGUAGGCGGAUUGUUAAGUCAGGGGUGAAAUCCUGGAGCUCAACUCCGGAACUGCCUUUGAUACUGGCGAUCUUGAGUCCGGGAGAGGUGAGUGGAACUGCGAGUGUAGAGGUGAAAUUCGUAGAUAUUCGCAAGAACACCAGUGGCGAAGGCGGCUCACUGGCCCGGUACUGACGCUCAUGUGCGAAAGCGUGGGGAGCAAACAGG
rnacentral:rRNA from 1 species